rnacentral:rRNA from 1 species
GAUGAACGCUGGCGGUAUGCCUAACACAUGCAAGUCGUACGAGAGUUUUUAACUCUAGUGGGCGAACGGGUGAGGAACACGUGAGGAAUCUGCCUUCAACACUGGGAUAACUCCGGGAAACCGGGGCUAAUACCGGAUACGAGCCUUGAUCGCAUGAUCGAGGCUGGAAAGUUUUUCGGUUGAAGAUGACCUCGCGGCCUAUCAGCUUGUUGGUGAGGUAAUGGCUCACCAAGGCGACGACGGGUAGCCGGCCUGAGAGGGGCGACCGGCCACACUGGGACUGAGACACGGCCCAGACUCCUACGGGAGGCAGCAGUGGGGAAUUUUGGACAAUGGGCGCAAGCCUGAUCCAGCCAUUCCGCGUGAGUGAAGAAGGCCUUCGGGUUGUAAAGCUCUUUCGCAAGGGAAGAAACGAUGCCGACGAAUAAUCGGUGUUAAUGACGGUACCUUGAUAAGAAGCACCGGCUAACUACGUG